ACUGAUUACCAUUUUAUACAACAACAGUAGAAACUACACCAACUGAUCCAACGACUGAAGAAACCACAUCACCUGACACAACAACAGUAGAAACUACACCAGUUACAACCACAGUAGAAACUACACCAACUGAUCCAACGACUGAAGAAACCACAUCACCUGACACAACAACAGAAGAAACUACACCAGUUACAACCACAGUAGAAACUACACCAACUGAUCCAACGACUGAAGAAACCACAUCACCUGACACAACAACAGAAAAAACUACACCAGUUACAACCACAGAAAACUGUGAAAUAGAUGCAAUUCCUUUCUCAAAUCAAA